UACGGAGGGUGCAAGCGUUAAUCGGAAUUACUGGGCGUAAAGCGCGCGUAGGCGGUUUUUUAAGUCGGAUGUGAAAGCCCCGGGCUCAACCUGGGAUGGUCAUUUAGAACUGGCAGACUAGAGUCUUGGAGAGGGGAGUGGAAUUCCAGGUGUAGCGGUGAAAUGCGUAGAUAUCUGGAGGAACAUCAGUGGCGAAGGCGACUCCCUGGCCAAAGACUGACGCUCAUGUGCGAAAGUGUGGGUAGCGAACAGC
rnacentral:rRNA from 1 species